rnacentral:rRNA from 1 species
UACAGAGGGUGCAAGCGUUAAUCGGAAUUACUGGGCGUAAAGCGUGCGUAGACGGUUGCGUAAGUCAGAUGUGAAAGCCCCGGGCUCAACCUGGGAAUUGCAUUUGAGACUGCGUAGCUAGGGUGCGGAAGAGGGAAGCGGAAUUUCCGGUGUAGCGGUGAAAUGCGUAGAUAUCGGAAGGAACACCAGUGGCGAAAGCGGCUUCCUGGUCCAGCACCGACGUUCAGGCACGAAAGCGUGGGGAGCAA